rnacentral:misc_RNA from 1 species
UUAAAGAUCAGUGUCUGGCGAGGUUUGUGCUAUUUCCUCCUUAUUCUUCGAGUUUCUUAAUUGUGUUCUAUGUCUAGUUCUUGUUGAAGUUUGUCAUCAGUUUUUCCACUUCUGAAAAUUUGCUUGAAUUCAUGUUUUGAGGGGUUUUAAAUGGCUCUAUUUAGGUUCUUGAAGUUGAAUUUGAUGUGGUUGAUGAGUUUGGUGGUGAUAUGGAAUGGCUUUUGUGGAAUGCUAUUGCGUUUUGGUGUUGGACAGUAUUGUUUCAUUACAUUUGGUUAACAUUCAGUAAAGAAACGUAAUGGAGUGAUUGUUGCAAUUGAUUUCUGUCCUGUCUUGUUUAGGGUACUAAUGUGAUAUAUAGAAACAACCAACCCGUUACUACUUUUGGGAGGAGAUGAUUGCAAAAAUUUCUACGUAUUUGG